rnacentral:tRNA from 1 species
AAGGAUUUAAGUUAAAAAAACUAAUAGCCUUCAAAGCUUUAAAUAAAGUUUACACUUUAAGCCUUA